rnacentral:rRNA from 1 species
GAUGAACGCUGGCGGCGUGCCUAAUACAUGCAAGUCGAGCGAACGGACGAGAAGCUUGCUUCUCUGAUGUUAGCGGCGGACGGGUGAGUAACACGUGGAUAACCUACCUAUAAGACUGGGAUAACUUCGGGAAACCGGAGCUAAUACCGGAUGAUAUUUUGAACCGCAUGGUUCAAAAGUGAAAGACGGUCUUGCUGUCGCUUAUAGAUGGAUCCGCGCUGCAUUAGCUAGUUGGUAAGGUAACGGCUUACCAAGGCAACGAUGCAUAGCCGACCUGAGAGGGUGAUCGGCCCCACUGGAGCUGAGACACGGUCCAGACUCCUACGGGAGGCAGCAGUAGGGAAUCUUCCGCAAUGGGCGAAAGCCUGACGGAGCAACGCCGCGUGAGUGAUGAAGGUCUUCGGAUCGUAAAACUCUGUUAUUAGGGAAGAACAUAUGUGUAAGUAACUGUGCACAUCUUGACGGUACCUAAUCAGAAAGCCACGGCUAACUACGU